rnacentral:rRNA from 1 species
AACGAACGCUGGCGGCAGGCCUAACACAUGCGAGUCGAGCGGACUCUUCGGGGUUAGCGGCGGACGGGCGAGUAACGCGUGGGAACGUGCCCUUUGCUUCGGAAUAGCCCUGGGAAAUUGGGAUUAAUAUCGGAUACGCCCUUUUGGGGAAAGAUUUAUCGGCGAAGGAUCGGCCCGCGUUGGAUUAGGUAGUUGGUUUGGUAAUCGCCUACCAAGCCGACGAUCCUUAGCUUGUUUGAGAGGAUGCUCAGCCACACUGGUGCUGAGACACGGACCAGACUCCUACGGGAGGCAGCAAUGGGGAAUCUUGGACAAUGGGGGAAACCCUGAUCUAGCCAUGCCGCGUGAGCGGUGAAGGCCUUGGGGUUGUAAAGCUCUUUCACCGGGGAAGAUAAUGACGUUACCCGGCGAAGAAGCCCCGGCUAACUCCGUG